UACAUGGGGUGCAAACGUUGCUCGGAAUUAUUGGGCGUAAAGCGCGCGUAGGCGGUUACUUAAGUCGGAUGUGAAAGCCCUCGGCUUAACUGAGGAAGUGCACCCGAAACUGGAUAGCUAGAGUACGAAAGAGGGUCGCGGAAUUCCCGGUGUAGAGGUGAAAUUCGUAGAUAUCGGGAGGAACACCGGUGGCGAAGGCGGCGACCUGGGUCGAGACUGACGCUGAGGCGCGAAAGCGUGGGGAGCAAACAGG
rnacentral:rRNA from 1 species